AUUAGUCUUUUAAUUGAAGACUUGUAUGAACGGUUGGACGAAAAACAAACUGUCUUUAUUUGAGUAAAUUGAAUUUAACUUUUAAGUGAAAAGGCUUAAAUAAUUUAAAGGGACGAUAAGACCCUAUAAAGCUUUACAUUGAGAUUAUUUAAAUAGUUAUUUGGAUUUAAGAUUUUUAAGUGAUAAAAUGUUUUGUUGGGGCGACAAGAAUAUAAAAUAUAACUGUUCUUACAUGUAAUCAAAGAUUUUUGAUUUAAUGAUCCUGUAUAGGGAUAGUAGAAUAAGUUACUUUAGGGAUAACAGCGUAAUUUUUUUAGAGAGUUCAUAUCGAUAAAAGAGUUUGCGACCUCGAUGUUGAAUUAAAGAAUCUUUAUAGCGGAGAAGUUAUGGGAGAAGGUCUGUUCGACCUUUAAAUCUUUACAUGAUUUGAGUUCAAACC
rnacentral:rRNA from 1 species